GGGACCUUCUGACGUACCUAGGGGAGGAGACCCGUCACCAGGGGGAGGAGCUACGGCCGAACAAGGUACCCGAAAAGUACCCUCGCGGGCUCGCUUCGCUCGCCUGAUUACUAAAGGUGAAAUGAAAACACGGCUGCUAAUCAGAUUUCAUCAGUGCGGAAUAGCAUGGCAGACGCAGCAAUGAGCGGUCCUGCGGAUUGCUGCGAUGGGACACAACCAGACAGGAAAUACAUGAGGUCAGCCUGAAGAUUGGCAGCUCCUUAAUAUUCUUCAGUCGCCGUCAUGGCGCAGCAUCGUGAGGGCCUGUAACCUGAAGAGUUAACAAUACCUGGAAGAAAAAAGCAACACGGGGACACGAUAUCACCCAGACUUCACCUCAAACCCCCUAGGUCUGCACAGGAAAAUAUGUGAAGUGGAGGAGAAGCUGGGGUGAAGACCAUUCAAUGUAACAUCACCUGGCAUGGAACUGCCCCCAUAGUAUACUUCUGAGAGCAUGGUUCUGCUUAGCCCUGAAGGAAGACGACGAUCUCUCAACACAUUUCUUGAAGAUUAAACUGACUCCCAAUAAAGAGUAUCUCUUCAUUUUCCAUACUCAUCAGUACAACCAGACGAGUACAACUAUGUUUUCAGAUUUUGGGACAAUUCUGUGUAUAGAGGCGUCUAGCCAAGUGCAGGUGGUAUUUCAUGAAGGUCAAAGUGAAGGUGGAGGACGCAAAUUACAGGAGAAUUUGACACAUCUGUUCUGGAGGAUGAAAGCAGCUGCCACAAGGCGGUGUAUGCAAUUAUCACACGGGAAGAUGCAAACAAGCCGCUUCUCUACCUGUGUGACCACGGCAAUAACAAAUCACUACUGUCUGCGUCUACCAGUCACACAGGUGUUCCCUAUAAACUGCAUAAGUGCACGGGAAGACAACAACGCAUGAAACCGCAUCGUUAGAAGUUGCAAGCAAGCUAUAUAAUUAGCACACGCAGAGAUAGAGGAGUUUGCCUGAAAAUUGAAAGUCUACAUAAAAAAGUGGUUUAUUCACAUGUAAACGAAAGACGCUAAAACACGAAAGAAUGAUUAAAGUUCAGUAAAA